rnacentral:rRNA from 1 species
UACGUAGGGGGCGAGCGUUGUCCGGAUUCAUUGGGCGUAAAGCGCUUUAAGGCGGUUCGCUAAGUCGGGUGUGAAACCUCCAGGCUCAACCUGGAGACGCCACUCGAUACUGGCGUGACUAGAGUUCGGUAGGGGAUCACGGAAUUCCUGGUGUAGCGGUGAAAUGCGCAGAUAUCAGGAAGAACACCCGUGGCGAAGGCGGCUCUCUGGGACGGUACUGACGCUGAGACGCGAAAGCGUGGGGAGCGAACAGG